rnacentral:rRNA from 1 species
GACGAACGCUGGCGGCGUGCUUAACACAUGCAAGUCGAACGAAGUGGCGAACGGGUGAGUAACGCGUAAUCAACCUGCCCUUCAGAGGGGGACAACAGUUGGAAACGACUGCUAAUACCGCAUACUGAAGGAGGGGAUUGCGUCUGAUUAGCUAGUUGGAGGGGUAACGGCCCACCAAGGCAACGAUCAGUAGGGGUUCUGAGAGGAAGGUCCCCCACAUUGGAACUGAGACACGGUCCAAACUCCUACGGGAGGCAGCAGUGGGGAAUAUUGGACAAUGGACCAAAGUCUGAUCCAGCAAUUCUGUGUGCACGAUGAAGUUUUUCGGAAUGUAAAGUGCUUUCAGUUGGGAAGCGGUACCAACAGAAGAAGUGACGGCUAACUACGUGCCAGCAGCCGCGGUAAUUC